GGAACUCCAACGCGUGCAAUUUUUCUUCGUUAAGUUUGUACCAAGUAAGGUUCUUAAGAAACAUUUUUGUCAAAGUACAGUUCUGAUGAUGGGUUUCAUGAAGAAUCGAGGGAAUUCCUAAAAUCUUAUAGGCAUACAUGUAAUAAUUUCUGGGAUUUUAUUUACAUAUCAAGCAUUUUUAUUAAAAAAUUGUCAUUUGACUAAGUGUAACAGCUGAUGUUGACCAGAAUGGAACUCGCCAACUCGCGCGCGAUUUGUUUUAUUAGUUAAGUUUGUAACAAGUAAGUUUUAAGUACUAAGGUUUUUAGGAACAUUCGUGUCAAGGUAAAGGUCUGAUGAUGGGUCCCAUGAAGAAUCGAGGGAAUUUCUUAAAUGUUAUAGGUAUAUAUAUAGUACUUAUUGGAUUUUCAUCAACAUAUUAUCAAGUUUUAUUCACAAAAGUGACAUUUGAUGAUGUGGAACUACUGAUGUUGACCAAAACGGAACUCCAACGCGCGCAAUUUUUCUUCGUUGUUAAGUUUGUAGCGAGUAAGGUUCUCAAGAAACAUUUUUGUCGAAGUACAGUUCUGAUGAUGUGUUUCAUGAGAAAGCGACGGAACUCCUCAUUCUCCUCAAUUUUUAUAGGUAUAUAGUAAUUUUGGAUUUUCAUCAAUAUCUUUAGCUUUUUUUAUUCACAUUAGUGGCAUUCAGGUUAUACCUAUUUAGGAAGCAGAGUUUCUAAUUUAAGGAAAUCUAUGUAAAUUGAUGUUUAUGAAAUAAAUUCAUUCAUUCAAUUCAUUCAUUUGAUGAAGUGGAACUAGUGAUGUUGACUAAAACGGAACUCUUCAACGCAUGAGAUUUUAUUCUUUUUUUGUUUAUUGUGAUAUAAGAGGCAAACUAGCAGACGAAUCAACUGAUGGUAAGCAAUUACCGCUGGCCAUGGACAUCUGUUACACCAUAGGGAUUGUAAGUGCGGUGCCGGCAUUUAAGAUAGGAAUACGCUCUUUCCUUAAAGUUUUAAAGAUCGUAUUGGGCCGGAAAUACCGCAUGCGACAGAUCAUUUCAUAGUUUAGCUGUAUGAGGCAGGAAGUUUCUAGAGAAAUGCACAGUUGAGGAUUGCCAACCAUCUAAGUGGUGAAGAUAUAAAUGAUGUAGCGUAAAGCGGUGACGGAAAGAGGCGGCAGAGAUUAAUCUGAACAAUUCCUCGGAACUUUUAAGUUUGUAGAAAGUAAGGUUCUUAAGAAAUAUCUGUACUAGACACCAGUGUCUAGUGUCUAGGUCUGAUGAUGGACACCUCAAACCUUAUAGAAAUACAUAUAGUUUUUUUUUUCAUCAAUAUCUCUAGGUGUUUUAUUUUAAAAAAGUUAUAUUUGAUCAAGUGGAACUGCUGAUGUUGUCCAGAACGGAACUUUUCAACGCACGCGUUUUGUAUUCUUUAUUAAGCUUGUAGCGAGUAACGUUCUUAAGGUGUAUUUAUAUCAAUAUUCAGUUCUGAUGAUGGGUUUCAUAAAUAAUCGAGGGAAUUCCUGACAUCUUAUAAUUUCUGGAUUUUUAUUUACAUAUCAAGCAUUUUUAUUAAAAUGUGACAUUUGACGAAAUGCAACAGCUGAUGCUGGCCAAAAUGGAACUCGCCAAUUCGCGCGCGAUAUGUUUUAUUUGUAGCAAGUAAAGUUCUUGAAGACAUUUGUGUCAUAAGGUCUAGUUCUGAGGAUGGGUUCCAUGAGAAAUCGAAGAAAUUCCUCAAAUCUUAUAGGCAUACAAUACAUACAGUAAUGUUUGGAUUCUCGUCAACAUAUCAAGCAUUUUUAUUUAAACAAGUUAGUGAUAUUGACCAGAACGGAACUCUUCAACGCGCGCGAUUCUUAUUAUUUGUUAAGUUUGUAGCAAGCUAGGUUCUUAGGAAACAUUUGUGUCAAGGUCCAGUUCUGAUGAUGGAUUCAAUGAGGAAUUGAGGAUUUUAAAUCGAUUUGAAUUCACAAUUAGGAGGAAUUGAGGAUUUUCGUCAACAUAUCAAGUUUUUUUUAUUUGAACAAGUGACAUUUGAUGAAGUGAAACUGCUGAUAUUACUGAAACUAUGCUGAUACUGCUGAAAUGGAACUCUUCAACGACAAGUAUUUUACCUUAGGCGUUUUUUUUUAUUUUAUUUCGUUUAUAGCAUGUAAGGCUUUUAAGGAACAUUUGUGUCAAGGUCCAGUUCUGAUGAUAGGUUCUACGAGAAACUGAAGGAGCUUCUCAUAUUGUAUAGGAUAGGCAUACAUAUAGUCAUUUUAGGAUUUUCAUCAAUAUUACAAGCAUUUUUACUCAAUAAAGUGACAUUUGUUGAAGUAGAAUUGCUGAUGAAGAACGGAACACCUCAACGACUUCCAGAUUCUUUAUUUUUAUUACUCUUCUUUCUUUUUCAUUAUUCUUAGAACAGGUAUUUCUACGAAGUGAACCGAACUGCUACUAUUAAAAGUAGCUAGGUAGGUAUGUUAAAUAGGUUAAAACUGUAAGGAUUAUUAUGUAUAAGUAGUUUCUUUUAAUUAAACAUAGGUAAGUAAUUCUAUUUAAGUAUAAGUAUCUUUAAAAAAACAUCAAUCGACUCUUAUCUGUCACUAGUUCCAGUUUCAGAGUAUAAAAUCCGGGUACACAGCCACGGCUAGCCGGGUAGCCAGACAGUUCGAAUACGGACAAGUUAUUGUGAAUAAAAAAUCUUAUCGUCUUGCAAAAGUUAAUGUCAUAAAUGUAUAGGUUUCGAAUACAUGAAUAUAAAGUGAAAAUGCUGGUAAAAGUAUUAGUUUUUAUCAUUAACCAUUUUAUAUCCCAACAAAACUGUUACCCUUACAAAAAUAAAAUGCUUUCAUUACCUAAUGUAGGUUACGUUAGGUAAUAAAUAAAUAAAUAUGUAGGGACAAUCUUACACAGAUUGGCCCCAAACUAAUCAAAGCUUGUACUAUGGGUACUAGGCGACGUUAAACAUACCUACUUAUUUAGAUAAAUAUAUAUUUACGUAUAUACAUAGAAAACACGCAAGCCUUAGGAACAAAUAUCUGUAUUCAUCACACAAAGAAAUGCCCUUACGCGAUUCAAACUCGGGACCAUCGGCUUCAUAGGCAGGGUCACUACCCACUAGGCCAAACCGGUCGGCAAAAGGUAAAGAUAAUUAGGUAAAGACAAUGAAUAAUUAAACGUAUUAUAAAUUGACACCAAUAUCCAUCAAAUAGUAUAACUAGGUAUGCUAAGAGCGGGCUUCAGGCCAUUACGUCGCACCUUUAGAAUUAAAUUAAUUUGACUCAAAAAGUACGACUACUUUAUAUAUGUAGUUUGGUAGAACAGUAAGAACUCACUAUAUGUGUCUCUUUUUCAUGCGGUGAAAUCCCCCCACCCGGAAAGGAUAGCGACGCCCAUUUUAUCGACUCUCGAGUCGACUCCAAUCUGAUACUAAUAGUAAGUAAGUACUUACUUAGUAAGCAAAUUGUAGUAGUUUUCCCUUCUUAGUAAAAGGAAGUAUUGUAAAGAUACUACUUUUUAACCGACUUCAAAAACUUUUUUUUUGUAUAUAUGUUAAGUAAGAUCUUCGUCAUUUCUGAACCAAUGUUGAAAAUUAGUUAUCGUUUGAAAGUGGGUGUAUAGUUCCAAGAUGGUCCUAUUUUUGACAAAACCACGAGGAAUUAAGGGAACUCCCCAAAUCUUAUAGUCGUUUUUAGGUUUCAUCAACAGACCAGGCAUUGCCAUUCAAAAAAGUGCUAUUUGAAGAAGUGGAACUUCUGAUCAGGACCAGAAAAGAACUCUUUAACGAUGCGUAUUUCACGCUAGACGAUUUGUCUUCUUUGUUAUGUUUGUAAAGAAGCUACUUGCUUAACGAGGUUUAAGGAAUAUUUGUGUAAAGGUCUAGCUUACAUCAUGGGUUCCAUGAGGAAUUGAGGCAACCUCUCAAUUCUUGAUGGAACGUAAAACUGUUUAUUGUCGAUAGGUAUCCCAUCUGCUCUAAUUUACCCCACUUGAAAAAAAAGGUACAUGAAAAAAAAACUUCUCUUAAAAAUAGGAAACCGACUUCAAACAUAGGUAUUAGAAAACAAUACAAAAACUGUUAUUGUAUUUUCAGAAACCAUACGGCAAUAAUGAGGAUGCAUCGACAUAAGAAGAAUCGAACAUGGGCAAGAUAAAGUUCAAGAAAAAAGCAAAUAUAAUGUGUACUUGUGUGUAGUCAAAGAAAGUUGAAAAAUAAAGCAUAAUUAAUGGCCAUAGAAUACAGAACCGAUACACGAACAUUCAGACUAUUAAAAAUAGACAUAUAGGUUGAUCGUACUACUCGUACUAAUGUAUAUCUUUUGUUCAAUUAUAUUAUUGCAUUAAAGUUAGAUUCUCUAGAUAUAUAUUAUUCAUAGGUUCUGUAUUCUAUACGAAUUGUUUCAGUGUAAUUAUUGUACUAAAUACCGUUGACCGCCUGUCAACAGUAUUUAUUUCUACAUUACUAUCACAGAAGAUUUUAGGCCCUACCGUACAGUUUUUGAAUUAGUAUUUACUAUGGACAAAUAUAGCGAAAUGUGAGUUUUUACCUAAAA